CUGUCAUGAAAGGUAACCCGGAAUGAGGAGAGAGAGGCCCAGAUACUGGCUAAAACCAAGCCCCUAAAUGUAUGGUGAAGAUCCUCCAGCCCCACUCAAGCCAUCAGCGACUUCAGCAAAAUGACAGAACAUACUUGAGAUCAGCACAAGAAUGACCCAGAUACAAGGCAAAGCGUGUAAGUGAUUAUGUAAUGGUGGGCUCAUGCAGCUUGCAAAACUUGGAAAGGAAACAAAGGAAUAAGGUUGCAGCAUGGCCAUUUAAAGCAGAAAUUAUGGCAACAAGGGGACCAUUGGCUCAGACAGCAAGAACACGACAGCCUGGUGGAAUGGUCAUUAAAAGAGAGAACCAUGGUCCCUGGGCACCCACUCAUCUCAGCUCUGCAACAGCAGCGAGGGAAUCUCAUGGCGUCUUCUGCUCCACCUGGACAGCUCCACUACAACUAAAGGCCGUGGAGCCAAAU